GCUAGGAAAGGAACCCAGUCUGGGCGGGGGCGGUGCAGGGACUGAGUCUGCCGUAGCGACGGUCUGGAGGUGUGUCUGGCUGCCCCGGGGAGACCGAGGUGAGCGGUCCGGCGAGUGUGCGCCUAUGCACAUAGGUGCCUGCAUGCGGAUACACACAUGGGCUCGCAUGCACGGCCAUCAGCGUGCACAGGAAUGGGCGCCGGGGGCAGCCGCUGGGGAAGGAGGGGAGUUGGCUAGGCUCCAGGGAAGAAAGGUACCGGGAUCCGUACUCACAGUGGAUGGUGGAAGCGGCAGCAGCGUCUUCCCUUCCCGGCCCGGCCCGGCCAGGCCCCUCUCGGUUCCCCGCGGCUCCGGGGGAAUUGCCUUGCAGGUUUCCCUUCGGUGACCCGCGCGUCUCCAACCGGCCCUGGCCGGGCCCCCGCACACAGGGAAAAAGGGACUCGCCGCAGCCACCUUUAACGCCCGGCGCACUGCAGCCCCAAAGGACGACAAAGACUGGAAAUGGCUACAAACAUGUGAGUUUUGAAAGGUCAGGAGAGUGAGUCACUGGAGAUCUGGAAACAAAAUGCAAGCUGAGAUUUGCUGGAAGUCAUAUUGUGAGGAGAGAAGCUCUCGGAGCCCUGUUGAAACAGCCAGUCUAGCAUCAAGGCCCAAGGGAAUGAAUGACUCCUAAGGAAUUUCCCAAGAGGAAAAUGACAAAUGUUGGAGCGACUGCAGGAAAACAGGCACAUUAAUGCACUGUUGGUAGAAACAUCAAGUAGUCUGGCCAUUCAGAAAAGCAAUUGGGAAUCAUACCCCUGAAGUAACUAAACUGGACAUAUCCUUUAACCCAGCAAUACCGCCACUGCAUACACCCCCAAAGAAAUCAGAGAAAGAACAAAAAGACCCAGAGGUUUAAAAAUAUUGAUAGCAUUUCUUUUCAUAGUAGCCAAAUCCUGGAAAUUAAAAGGAUGUCCACCUAUUGGAGAAUAUCUAAAAAGUAGAAUAUGUGAGUAUAAGGAAAUAUUGGAAGAAAUUUCAGAAGGGGAAGUUUUAGAGGAAAUAAAGUGGGAAGCUAGAAGACA
rnacentral:lncRNA from 1 species